CUCUCUCCGUGCACUCUCUCUCCGUGCACGAUCUCUCCGUGAGCUCUCUCUCUCCGUGCACUCUCUCUCCGUGCGCUCUCUCUCCGCACGUCGUCGCGCACCGCCGCGUGGGCCCAUCGAGGUCCCUCGACGCAGCAGCCGCCCCUGCGCAAGGGGACCGUGGGGGGGGGCGUCGGUCGCAAGGACCACAAGAAGCACAGGCGCCCCAUUCAUCUUCAUCAGCCCGGCAGAGGCUCGCCGGGGCGACAGGAGGAAAGUGGAAACUGAUACGGCAGGCCGGUGGGAAGAGCCCCAAAAGCAAAAAGCGCACAGCCUGGGCAGGGCAGCAGCGGUGUGAGUCUGGGCAAAGUGCAGAAGGGCCUUCGGCCGUGGCACACAAAGAGGGGAAACUGAAGCUGGCUUCAAUAUCCUGUGGCAGGGUGACCUUAAACGAAUGGAGAAACAGAUGUGGAGAUGUUCUCGUGCUUUGUGGGAAAGGUGGCCAGUCGGCUCAAGCAGAACAUUUCCACGGGCACGGGACCAAGCCAUCACUGCGGAGAUCCUGAAAUUUCGCAACAUUGGAGCCCUGUCGAUGAACGUGAAGUAUUCAUUACGCGCGCCCGCCCAGCCGCGCCAAGAGUGAAUUCGCUCGACGUUGUUUCAACUUUGUCGAAAAAUAAAUACGCAACAUAAAUUAAUAAAUGCAUUUUCACGCA